UGGGGAAUAUUGGGCAAUGGGCGAAAGCCUGACCCAGCAACGCCGCGUGAGGGAAGAAGGGUUUCGGCUCGUAAACCUCUGUCCUAUGGGAGGAAGAAGAUGACGGUACCAUAGGAGGAAGCCCCGGCUAACUACGUGCCAGCAGCCGCGGUAAUACGUAGGGGGCGAGCGUUGUCCGGAAUGAUUGGGCGUAAAGGGCGCGUAGGCGGCCCGUUAAGUCUGGAGUGAAAGUCCUGCUUUCAAGGUGGGAAUUGCUUUGGAUACUGAUGGGCUGGAGUGCAGGAGAGGAAAGCGGAAUUACCGGUGUAGCGGUGAAAUGCGUAGAGAUCGGUAGGAACACCAGUGGCGAAGGCGGCUUUCUGGACUGAAGCUGACGCUGAGGCGCGAAAGCGUGGGGAGCAAACAGGAUUAGAUACCC
rnacentral:rRNA from 1 species